GAGAACUUUCUUGCUAGCUCUUGAGGGAGGAGGACCUAGCUGCCUAGGAGCUGAAGGUGCAGGCAACCAAGAAGGGCUGGAGAAAGACAUUGGACAGGAGAACAGGAACACAGACGGGAACCAGGACCUAAGGGACAGGUGUCAGGAAUGGGAACACAACAGGAAUUGGACCUCAGGAUCUUUGGUGCCAGGAAACCUCUGUCCGUUGCCGGAACUCCUUCCAUAGACUCAUACUCAGCAGUUCUGGAAACAUCCCCUUGAACGAUCCCGUGGUCUGACUCUCCAACCACUCACUGCCACCUGGCACAGUAAAGGAAUUUGACUCAGGAUUUUCGUCUGCUCUCCAAAUUGCUGGUGAUGUGGUGAGGUCCCUGUUCAAUCAAUAGUAACCUCUGGGAAAUGUAUAACUCUCUAACCUACAUAGCGCAGCAUAAUCACACUAGCUCAAGGGAUAGUUCUGGGAGUCUGCUUUGGUUAAGGCGACCUUCAUACAGGUUUUAAUCAGGUCCAUGAAGCUCUAGGGUUUUGCUUCAUUCGUUUUUUGUAACGUUUUGCAAACAAGUCUGCAAAGAAGGCAUCAACAAGUUUGAACAACUCUGACAAGACAAUAUGUUCCCUUCCCCUCUUCGAGUUACUGUGUCCCUGGGCAUGGGUCUGUUUAACCACACAACAAACAUGUUUAGGGAGUGGUGUGGGACUCCUACCUGAUUGUCCUGCUGCCGAUCCUUUGUGGGUUAGUGGUGCAUCCUGCAUGACUGCAUCCAGCUAGUAGCUGGAAUCACGUCCCAGUGCUGACCCACGCGUUCCAGCCGCACAGGCACUGUGGGAUUAUGUCUGCCCCCAUAAGGAUUUUGUUUUCAGGCUCCAUCAGGAAAGAAAGUCUCAAGCCUUUCAAUUCUAGUGAAGGGCUGGGCCUUGGAGUGUGGCAAGCAGGCACUGGGAGCAAGGGUCAGCAGGUGACAGGCGAGCAGGGCAGCCAGGGCCCAGAAGCACCAUCCCAUAGCCCAUCCUGGGUCAGAAAGACACUGAGGAAGGAAGAGCUGGAAAGGAGUGGCAAUAUUCUGAAAAUGCUGCCACCUUGUGUCUGCUUUGGAGAUCUGAAAACCUACACUCCAGACUCCCACACCGAAAUAGUAACUGGAGUUUGCACCGUGGUCCAGUGCCUUGCUAUGAAACAACCACUAGAAAGUGAGAGUUAAUUGUAUGGCUUGAGGUGGCUUGUGUAUCAAUUUGCAAUCUAGUUAGCUAGCUACAGCAGUUACUUGUGUGGCCCCAUUACUGUAGUGUCUGAGCUUAUCUAUAUAGUAGUAUGGCAAUGUGCAUAA